UGGGGAAUAUUGCACAAUGGGCGAAAGCCUGAUGCAGCAACGCCGCGUGAAGGAAGACGGUUUUCGGAUUGUAAACUUCUGUUCUUAGUGAAGAAUAAUGACGGUAACUAAGGAGCAAGCCACGGCUAACUACGUGCCAGCAGCCGCGGUAAUACGUAGGUGGCAAGCGUUGUCCGGAAUUACUGGGUGUAAAGGGAGCGUAGGCGGGAAAGCCAAGUCAGCUGUGAAAACUACGGGCUUAACCUGUAGACUGCAGUUGAAACUGGCUUUCUUGAGUGAAGUAGAGGUUGGCGGAAUUCCGAGUGUAGCGGUGAAAUGCGUAGAUAUUCGGAGGAACACCGGUGGCGAAGGCGGCCAACUGGGCUUUAACUGACGCUGAGGCUCGAAAGUGUGGGGAGCAAACAGGAUUAGAUACCC
rnacentral:rRNA from 1 species